rnacentral:rRNA from 1 species
GAUACCCUGGUAGUCCACGCCGUAAACGAUGUCUACUAGGAGGUGGUUCCCUUGAGGAGUGAGUUCCGCAGCUAACGCGAUAAGUAGACCGCCUGGGGAGUACGGUCGCAAGGUUAAAACUCAAAUGAAUUGACGGGGGCCCGCACAAGCGGUGGAGCAUGUGGUUUAAUUCGAUGCAACGCGAAGAACCUUACCUGGCCUUGACAUCCAGGGAACUUAGCAGAGAUGGAUUGGUGCCUUCGGGAAUUUUCAGACAGGUGCUGCAUGGCUGUCGUCAGCUCGUGUUGUGAAAUGUUGGGUUAAGUCCCGCAACGAGCGCAACCCUUUUCCUUUGUUGCCAGCAUUUCGGUUGGGAACUCAAAGGAGACUGCCAGUGAUAAACUGGAGGAAAGGUGGGGAUGACGUCAAGUCAUCAUGGCCCUUACGGCCAGGGCUACACACGUGCUACAAUGGCAUAUACAAAGAGAAGCGACCUCGCGAGAGCAAGCGGACCUCAAAAAAGUAUGUCGUAGUCCGGAUCGGAGUCUGCAACUCGACUCCAUGAAGUCGGAAUCGCUAGUAAUCCGGAUCAGAAUGCCACGGGAAUACGUUUCCCCGGCCCUGUACCACACCCCCCGCCACACCAUGGGAUUGGGUCCCCAAGAAAGUAGGUAACCUAAC